AGAGUUGAUCCUGGCUCAGGAUUAACGCUGGCGGCGUGCAUAACACAUGCAAGUCGAACGAUGAAACUUUAAUGAACCUUUCGGGGAGAAUUAAAGCGGAUUAGUGGCGAACGGGUGAGUAACGCGUGAGUAACCUGCCUUACACAAGGGGAUAGCCUUUGGAAACGAAGAAUAAUACCCUAUAAAACCAUAAAAGCACAUGCAAUUAUGGUCAAAGUAUUAGCGGUGUAAGAUGGACUUGCGUCUGAUUAGCUAGUUGGUGAGAUAAAAGCCCACCAAGGCAACGAUCAGUAGCCGGCUUGAGAGAGUGUACGGCCACAUUGGGACUGAGACACGGCCCAGACUCCUACGGGAGGCAGCAGUGGGGAAUUUUGCACAAUGGGGGAAACCCUGAUGCAGCGACGCCGCGUGAUUUAGAAGGCCUUCGGGUUGUAAAAAUCUUUUGUAUAGGAAGAAAAUGACAGUACUAUACGAAUAAGGUCCGGCUAAUUACGUGCCAGCAGCCGCGGUAAUACGUAAGGACCGAGCGUUGUCCGGAAUCAUUGGGCGUAAAGGGUACGUAGGCGGCUAGAAAAGUUAGAAGUCAAAGGCUAUAGCUCAACUAUAGUAAGCUUCUAAAACUAUUUAGCUUGAGAGAUGGAAGGGAAAGUGGAAUUCCUAGUGUAGCGGUGGAAUGCGCAGAUAUUAGGAGGAAUACCGGUGGCGAAGGCGACUUUCUGGCCAUUUUCUGACGCUGAGGUACGAAAGCGUGGGUAGCAAACAGGAUUAGAUACCCUGGUAGUCCACGCCGUAAACGAUGAGUGUUAGGUGUCUGGAGUCAAAUCUGGGUGCCGCAGCAAACGCAUUAAACACUCCGCCUGGGGAGUACGCACGCAAGUGUGAAACUCAAAGGAAUUGACGG
rnacentral:rRNA from 1 species